rnacentral:rRNA from 1 species
CCUACGGGAGGCUGCAGUGGGGAAUAUUGGACAAUGGGGGGAACCCUGAUCCAGCCAUGCCGCGUGUGUGAAGAAGGCCCUCGGGUUGUAAAGCACUUUCAGUGAGGAAGAACGCCUGGUGGUUAAUACCCAUCAGGAAAGACAUCACUCACAGAAGAAGCACCGGCUAACUCCGUGCCAGCAGCCGCGGUAAUACGGAGGGUGCGAGCGUUAAUCGGAAUUACUGGGCGUAAAGCGCGCGUAGGUGGCUUGAUAAGCCGGUUGUGAAAGCCCCGGGCUCAACCUGGGAACGGCAUCCGGAACUGUCAAGCUAGAGUGCAGGAGAGGAAGGUAGAAUUCCCGGUGUAGCGGUGAAAUGCGUAGAGAUCGGGAGGAAUACCAGUGGCGAAGGCGGCCUUCUGGACUGACACUGACACUGAGGUGCGAAAGCGUGGGUAGCAAACAGGAUUAGAUACCGGGUAGUC